ACGCUCGACACCUCGGGAGCAGCAGUGGGGAAUAUUGCACAAUGGGGGAAACCCUGAUGCAGCGACGCCGCGUGGAGGAAGAAGGUCUUCGGAUUGUAAACUCCUGUUGUUGGGGAAAAAGAGGAUGGUACCCAACAAGGAAGUGACGGCUAACUACGUGCCAGCAGCCACGGUAAUCUGAGCGGGCUGGCAAGGC
rnacentral:rRNA from 1 species